GUUUCGCAAACAACAGAUCGGGUUUCUAAAAGCUAUUUCAACCCCCCUCCCAGUUACUGCCACCCUCUCCCAGGUCUAGAGAGGGGUACCCACGGUGGAGGGAGGUGGGAGGCCGAGACGGCCCCGGGGGUCGGCGGAGACCCAGCGGGAGCAGGGGGAAAUCGGAAGAGCUGGGGGCAUGGAGCGGGCGAGUUUGGAGCGGAAUGAGCCGGGAGCCCUACGUUGUGGAAGGAAGACAACAGUAUAGGACCAUCAGCAGGACCGGACAGAGAGGGACCAGGCUGGCCUUGAACUCAGAAAUCCGCCUGCCUCUGACUCCCGAGUGCUGAGAUUAAAGGUGUGCACCACCACACCCGACAAGGAAGCCUGUUUUAAGAAGUGAUUCCAUGGAGGAGUUCUGCGGCGGCUCAGGGCUUGACUAAACAGUGGACCUCAGACAAGAGAGGCUAAACCAGGCUGCAGGUGACAGGAAGAAUUGAAUAAACUGAAAGCAAAGGGCAGCCUUCUAAUUACGCUUCGUGGCUAUGUGGACAACCUGGAGAAGUCUGGAAACAAAGAAGCCAGAAGCCCGAAGCCAGCAGUAGAGCUCUGACUGGCUUGUAUGCCUAGAAAGGAAGGGCUCUUCUUUCGCCUCACGGGCACAAAUGGGACCCACGAGCGCCGAUUUCAGACUAUUCUGAUCCCUUCAAAAAGAAAGUUAGGAGUCCAGGCUACUGUGAGUGAAUUUGAUUCUAAUUGUUUCAGAGAAUAUGGAAUAAAAUAUCUCAUUUGCAGUUGUUUA
rnacentral:lncRNA from 1 species